rnacentral:rRNA from 1 species
UUGAACGCUGGCGGCAGGCCUAACACAUGCAAGUCGAGCGGUAGCACAGAGAGCUUGCUCUCGGGUGACGAGCGGCGGACGGGUGAGUAAUGUCUGGGAAACUGCCUGAUGGAGGGGGAUAACUACUGGAAACGGUAGCUAAUACCGCAUAACGUCGCAAGACCAAAGUGGGGGACCUUCGGGCCUCAUGCCAUCAGAUGUGCCCAGAUGGGAUUAGCUAGUAGGUGGGGUAACGGCUCACCUAGGCGACGAUCCCUAGCUGGUCUGAGAGGAUGACCAGCCACACUGGAACUGAGACACGGUCCAGACUCCUACGGGAGGCAGCAGUGGGGAAUAUUGCACAAUGGGCGCAAGCCUGAUGCAGCCAUGCCGCGUGUGUGAAGAAGGCCUUCGGGUUGUAAAGCACUUUCAGCGGGGAGGAAGGCGAUAAGGUUAAUAACCUUGUCGAUUGACGUUACCCGCAGAAGAAGCACCGGCUAACUCCGUGCCAGCAGCCGCGGUAAUACGGAGGGUGCAAGCGUUAAUCGGAAUUACUGGGCGUAAAGCGCACGCAGGCGGUCUGUCAAGUCGGAUGUGAAAUCCCCGGGCUCAACCUGGGAACUGCAUUCGAAACUGGCAGGCUAGAGUCUUGUAGAGGGGGGUAGAAUUCCAGGUGUAGCGGUGAAAUGCGUAGAGAUCUGGAGGAAUACCGGUGGCGAAGGCGGCCCCCUGGACAAAGACUGACGCUCAGGUGCGAAAGCGUGGGGAGCAAACAGGAUUAGAUACCCUGGUAGUCCACGCCGUAAACGAUGUCGAUUUGGAGGUUGUGCCCUUGAGGCGUGGCUUCCGGAGCUAACGCGUUAAAUCGACCGCCUGGGGAGUACGGCCGCAAGGUUAAAACUCAAAUGAAUUGACGGGGGCCCGCACAAGCGGUGGAGCAUGUGGUUUAAUUCGAUGCAACGCGUAGAACCUUACCUGGUCUUGACAUCCACAGAACUUUCCAGAGAUGGAUUGGUGCCUUCGGGAACUGUGAGACAGGUGCUGCAUGGCUGUCGUCAGCUCGUGUUGUGAAAUGUUGGGUUAAGUCCCGCAACGAGCGCAACCCUUAUCCUUUGUUGCCAGCGGUUAGGCCGGGAACUCAAAGGAGACUGCCAGUGAUAAACUGGAGGAAGGUGGGGAUGACGUCAAGUCAUCAUGGCCCUUACGACCAGGGCUACACACGUGCUACAAUGGCAUAUACAAAGAGAAGCGACCUCGCGAGAGCAAGCGGACCUCAUAAAGUAUGUCGUAGUCCGGAUUGGAGUCUGCAACUCGACUCCAUGAAGUCGGAAUCGCUAGUAAUCGUAGAUCAGAAUGCUACGGUGAAUACGUUCCCGGGCCUUGUACACACCGCCCGUCACACCAUGGGAGUGGGUUGCAAAAGAAGUAGGUAGCUUAACCUUCGGGAGGGCGCUUACCACUUUGUGAUUCAUGACUGGGGUG